UAUGGGGAGAAGGCAGAAACAGGGUACAGAUUAGGGAUGAUCAGCCUAAUCACAUUGAAUGGCAGUGCUGGCUUGAAGGGCCGAAUGGCCUGCUCCUGCACCUAUUGUCUUUUGUCUAUUGUCUAUUGAAACGUCACCUAUUCCUUCGCUCCGUAGAUGCUGCCCGCAUCCUCACCCGCUGAGUUUCUCCAUCAUUUUUCGUCUCCCCUUUAAACUAAACGUUGGCUAGUUGGACAAUGAUCCUGUGAGAUACUGCAUUGAGGUAUUUCACCAGGUUAAAGGUGUGUUUGGAAAAUCAAGUUGCCGCCGUUCAUAUUUUGAUUCCUGUUGUGUUUCCUCCAUUCCAACGUGACACCUUUACAAUUUCUGGAAUUCAAAGCGCCAGCAUUAAAGAAAUUAUGGAAAUAGUAUGUCUGAUCUCAGGCGACGAAGUCAGACAACCCUGACAGUGCUGACUUGCAUGAAGAUUGAUCUUGGAUGCUGACUGACCCACCGAGUUCCUUCACCAUUUUGCAUUGUUGAUCAAGAUUCCAGCAUUUGCAUUUCCUGGUGACUCCACCUCAACAGUGCAGACACAGUGGCGCAGUGGUAGAGUUGUUGCCUUAUAGCAAAUGCAGCACCGGAGACCCGAGUUCCACACCGACUACGGGUACUGUCUGAAUGGAGUUUGUACGUUCUCCCCGUGACCUGCGUGGGUUUUCUACGAGAUCUUCUGUCUCCUUCCACACUCCAAAGACGUACAGGUUAGUAGAUUAAUUGGCUUGGUAUGAAUGUAAAAUUGUCCCUGGUGGUUGUAGGAUAGUGUUAGUGUGCGGGGAUCGCUGGUCGGCGAGGAUCCGGUGGGCCGAAUGACCUGUUUCCGCGCUGUAUCUCUACGCUAAAGAACCAACUGCUUUUAUUUCAGUGUGUUUUUCACUGAUGUACACUUUGGUCUAUUGAUCCUAAUUCUGCUGCAGACGUAAUUUGAGGAACAUGCAAUUAUGAUAAUUUCAGCAAAAUGCGGCAUUAUAGGAGUCAUUUAUUCAUUUGAAAUUU